GCUAGACUGGCUGAUUUUGGCAUAAGUCGUAGACUGAAACCGAGUGAAACCACUUUACGAAAAAGCAUCGCUGGAACUAAAUUCUGGAAGGCAAAAGAAGCAAUCGAUGAAGAAAGCAACAGUGGCUACAAAAGAUGUUCUGACAUUCAGGUUGCUGGGAUGUUAGUGUACUACAUUCUCUCUAGAGGGCAUCAUCCAUUUGGCAAAGGUGCCGUCUGCGAGUACAACAUUCUGCAGGGAAAAUACAAACUGGAGCACCUGGAGGAUGAUGUAGCGAAUGAUCUUGUGGAGUGGAUGAUCAAUGAAGAUCCAGGAAAGAGACCAACUGUGGAGCAGACACUUGCACACCCCUUCUUCUGGAAUGAUGAAAGUUUGGCCCUGAGCUCAUCCAGAAACUGGAUAAAAAGAAGAAAGCUUAUCCUGAGAAUACACUUGGCCUGCUGCGAUUUGUACGCAACCUGCACGAGCAUUACUCAGAGGAUGCAGCGAACAUCAACCUAAUGGCUUUAUUCCCUGAUCUUUUUGGGAGUGUGUACAAGUUUGCAAAGGAAAGCGGAUGGCACUCCAGGCCGAGUCUGAAAAGGUUCUUGAACUCCGCUCCAUAGAUUUGACUUUAUUUCUGGAUUGAAUAUGAACACUGAUACUGCAUCAUCUAUAUGAAUUGUGUACCUAGAAUGAUAUGAUUUUUGAAAAUGAUCACAGUGAGAACAGUCUCUGACAAUAAUUGUCCCAGCUCUCGUGUUUCCUUUGAUAAAUUCAGGGAUAGCGGCUAAAAUCGAUGUAAAUUCUGUUGUGAGAAAACAGUCAGCAUUGUGUACUUGUAUUUGACACUUGGGUGCUUUCUUUCUCUUCGAACACAAGGGAACAGUUUCUGACAGUAACAUUCUCUGUUAAUUCUCUCCCAAGGGAACAGUAUCUGACAGUAACAUUCUCUCUUAAUUCUCUCCCAAAUACACACUAAAUAAUGACAUUUUGUAAAGGUAUUUAUAAUGCAAACAGUUUUUUAGCUAGCCCAUUUUUAAAAGUCAUGAAAUAUGCUUUUUUUGACAAUUUUUUAAAAAUAGCUUUUUACAGUCACAUUAUUGGUGCACAUACUCAUUGAUGUACAAUUCAAUGAGGCAUCUAUGUAUGUAUAUGAAAGCAACAAACAUGACACGUGAGAUAAAUAUAAAAAAGAUCUUUAUUUAGUUGAACUGAAGACCACCUGCCCACCCUUUAUCCCAACCUCACCACUAUUCUCAUCUCCAAAGUCACUACACAUGCAUUUGUGCUACGGGCACACUAUCACAGAGAGUUUUGUAUGCUGCUAGUUACCUCUUUCUGGUCCUAAACUGAUGUGGUUUUCCAAGCGCACGCAGCACAAGGACAUGACGGCUCAGGUCUAACCUUAUUGAUUUAUGGUAAAGCUAAGACAUUUCGUUUCAUUUAUUAUUUGUAUCAUUUUUAAAUUGCAUCAAUUUUGCAGAGUUACAGUUACAUAAAUUAUUAUUUUUUGUACUUAAAGACGCUGCGUUUCAUUGUUUUGUAUUGAGGCUCCAUAAAUGUGCGCUAAACAAGCCUAAAACAUUUAUUUAUUUUUGUUUAAGAAUUUAUAUAUUCACCCUAGGCUGACUAAGUUUAACACUUAAAAAAAUAAGAGAAAAGAUGCUGAGCUUACCUUGUGUUCUUAUUGUAACUCAUUGCCUUUCUGUGUUGGGAUUUAACAAUAAAAAGUAUUUAAAAAGAUCAACUUGUCAUUUUAAAACAAACAAUAUAUCCUAGAAUAAUAACCCAGCAACAAUAACUUAAUAUACGAUCUGUGACGUCCUAGCGAUUGCUGAAGUUUUCAAGCUGGAUGAAACGUAUGAAGGUAUUUUUGGUGCAAACACGAGCGCCUGUGAGAGUGGAGUUUGUAGUUGUUGGCCACACAUGUGUAUCAGCAAACUUUUUUCUCUCUCCUGCAAACACAACACAACAGUUACACCUUCUUGAAUCCUUCAGUGCAAGUGCACAAAUCCAAUUCUACAAAC